GAAGUAGCCCGCCUACUAUAUCCUGCACUAUGCUUGGAACGGUAAUGAGAUGGAUAGUAAUCACUUGAGUGGUGGUGGCUGAGUGGUAAAGAGCUCGAUAACACACUUGUAACCAUGGGCAAAAGAAACAGAUGAAUUUUACAUCAUUUACACAGCAUGGCCUGAAAGGCGAACUUUUCUUUUCACUUCCAGCAUCUGUUAUAAUGUGGAUAAGUCAAGCAGGCCACUUGCUCAUUUUUUUUCCUGUGAGGUGGAAGUGGAUACCCCCAGUAUCCUCCAAAGUGAGGCACCUAGCUAUGUGAGUCAGGCUAGGUUAAUGUGGGCUACCCCAGUAGAACUGCAUUACAGAAUGGGUCUAUAAAAGACAUAUAAAAUAAAAUACAAAAUAAAGAAAUAGUUUGAUUUAUGUAAUAGCCUGUUUUGCAAUCAAGCCUAACACAGUGGAAUGCCCAGUGGUAGAAGAGAGUCAGCCAGAUGUUAGAAUGUCAUUCAUUUCUCAUUGUUUUAUUUACAUUAGCUACGUUACCUAUGAUGAAAUAAUAAUAAUGUUAAUAAGUCAAAGGACACUUGAUGGUCAACUUCUAUGAUGUGCCAAACCAUUAGUGUGAUGUGCUAGUCAAGUACAGUGAUCAAUCUGUUACAUUUACCAGUAGUAGAAAAUGAAGGUGAAAAUGUUUUUUUUAACAGAUUCAUAAUGAUUUAAUUAGACAUAGUUUAUGUAAUAAGUCUUCAGAUGUUAUAACAACUAUGACAAGUUUUGUUUUUUUUAAUCUUAUUACCAUUAAUUAUUGCCUUUAAUUAUUAAUAUUAAUUAGGGUUGCAGAGCUGGGUCAGUUUUUUUGGAGUCAAAGUGGAUUUGGUACAAAAUUGUCAGAUUAAAAGAAGUCAAUGUUGAAACUAGAGGGUAUGGAAUGGCCACAUUAACAGCUCUGCAACCCUACAAUAGAACAAAUAAUCAGAAUAACACUAUGUUCUAGACAUAGGCUAACCAACUUACAUAAACACAGGUGAUUACAUCUGGUCAUAAGAUCAGGAAUACAAUGGCACCAGAACUUUGAAGAAACACAAUAACAAAAACUACAAGAUUAUUUAGCCAGGUAAACAGGUAUUAACAAAGAAAAACAAGAUUAAAGGAUACGAGCAAAAAAUGAAGAGAUUCUUCCACUGCUAGUGUUCAAGAAAUAAAUAAUCAAGUUCAAUACAGCAUUAGUGACAUCUUCACUCUAGCUCUGUGCUAAUGAAAUGCAAAAAAAAAAGUUUUC